rnacentral:rRNA from 1 species
GAUGAACGCUGGCGGCGUGCUCAAUACAUGCAAGUCGAACGGAAAGGCCCGGCUCUUGCGGGUCUCUCGAGAGGGGAAGGGGGGUGUAAAACGCGUGUAACCCGUCCUUGACUUUGGGAUAACUUCAGGAAAAUCGGGCUAAUAUACGGGAGGAGCUCUUGAUCCACGGGGUGGGAUGGAAAGAUUCGGCUGUUGGGGCUGGAAUAGCGGCUUAUGGGCUUGUUGGUGGGGUAGUGGCUGACCAAGGCUUCGACGGCUAGCCGGCCUGAGAGGGUGACCGGCGACAAUGGGACUGAGAGACGGCGCAGUCUCCUACGGGAGGCAACAGUGGGAAGUCUUACGCAGUGAGCGGGAGUCUGAUACGGCGGCGCCCCGUGCGGAAUGACGGCCUUCGGGUUGUGAACCGCUUUCGCCUGUGACGAGGCGUGAGUGACGGUAAUGAGUAAGGAAGCACCGGCUAACUACGUG